rnacentral:misc_RNA from 1 species
AUAGACAAGACAGAAAGACAAGACAGACAAAGACGGUUUUAGUGUUGUAAUAAGGCUGUGUUGUUUUGUUCUUAAAACCGUGCAUGCAUGAUGAUGAUGAUGAUGAUGGAAAGGCAGUUUGAGUAGUAUUUAUUGCAAAGACUUUCCUUUUCCCUUUUGCCCAUUUCGAAGAAGAAGACCCUUAGGUUUUUGCGUGGUAAUAGUGUAAUAUUAUUUCUUCCUUCCUGAGUCAAAUCCCACUCAGAUAAUUAUGGUUUUUCUUCCUUUUUAUAGUUAGUUGGUGGGGUUCUUGGAGAAUGGUUUGUAUCGGUUGUGAAUAAAUGAAAG